CCUUGUACACACCGCCCGUCACACCAUGGGAGUGGGGUUCCACCAAGGAAGUAGGUAGGCUAACCGCAAGGGGGCCGCCUACCACGGUCGAGCGUUCAUGACUGGGGUG
rnacentral:rRNA from 1 species